rnacentral:lncRNA from 1 species
CCCCAGAGGAACCACAGAGUUGGGAUGAGGACAGUGCAAGUGUGAGAGUGCUGGGUGUGAGGGUGCUGGGUGUGAGGGCACCAGGUGUGAGGGUGCUGGGUGUGAGGGCACCAGGUGUGAGGGUGCUGGUUGCGAGGGCACCAGGUGUGAGGGUGCUGGGUGCGAGGGCACCAGGUGAGAGGGUGCUGGGUGUGAGGGCACCACGUGUGAGGGUGCUGGGUGCGAGGGCACCAGGUGUGAGGGUGCUGGUUGCGAGGGCACCAGGUGUGAGGGUGCUGGGUGCGAGGGCACCAGGUGAGAGGGUGCUGGGUGUGAGGGCACCACGUGUGAGGGUGCUGGGUGAGAGGGUGCUGGGUGCGAGGGCACCGGGUGUGAGGGUGCUGGGUGCGAGGGCACCGGGUGUGAGGGUGCUGGGUGUGAGGGCACCGGGUGUGAGGGUGCUGGGUGUGAGGGCACCGGGUGAGAGGGUGCUGGGUGUGAGGGCACCAGGUGUGAGGGUGCUGGGUGUGAGGGCACCGGGUGAGAGGGUGCUGGGUGUGAGGGCACCGGGUGUGAGGGUGCUGGGUGUGAGGGCACCGGGUGAGAGGGUG